UCCUCCUUCCCUGCCUGGGAUCACAUGGUGGGAAGCGGAAAACAAAGGCCCAGCCUCCUUCCUUCCCCCUCCGGCUGAAUGCCUCCUCCUUGAUCUGCAGAAGGAUCUCUGGAAGGGAAAAGAAAUAUAAAAGAGGGUUUGGGGAAGAAAAGGAGGCACCUUCCUCCCAAAGCUCCCCUUGGGAAUCUGCAAUGGCGCUGGUGGAAGCAGAAAAAGAAGAAGAAGAAGCAGAAGAGGCUCAGGGGUGAGAGGCAGCAAAGAAGAAGACAUCGGUGGGAAAAGGGGCCGAUUGAACCCAGAAAGGAAAACUAAACAUCCCAGCCCUUCUUUGCCUGGAUCUCUGAUAGUCUUGCUAUGAUGGAACAAGAAAAGAGGCAACAAACUGUAGAGCUCCAGGGAUCGAAGUAUGUUGAGACUUCCCUGGGUGACCACUUAGGAGAGCUCACCCACAUGAAGAUGAAGGAGGAACAAGUUUCUGAGGAAACCCAAACCUUCCCAAGUGCUCAUUCAGGUUAUCUUGGUAUGCCAAUAAAGAUGGAAGAAGAAGAAUUAGGCAUCCCCACUGGCCAUGAAGGCUUUCCGCAGAAUGAAGCUGCCGAGGAUUCCUUUCCAGGUUUCCCCAUUGUGACCAUAAAGAUGGAAGAAGAAGAAGAGUCACAGGCAUCAGAUAAUCAGGAUUGUGAACAAGGAUUUUCUGGUGUAAUAAUAAAGAUGGAACCUGAAGAAGAGCCUUGGAUUUCAGAUCUCCAGCAAAGAAGUACAAUGUUCUCAAGAGUCCAGCCAGUGGUCCCAAAGCGCAAGCGUAGUGAUCGUGGCAAUUCGGAUAUGCCUAAGAGAAGCCGUAAAGUGCUUCCUUUAAGUGAAAAGAUGAAAGUUCUCGACUUAAUAAGAAAAGAGAAAAAAUCCUAUUCUGAGGUUGCUAAGAUCUACGGUAAGAAUGAAUCUUCUAUCCGUGAAAUUGUGAAGAAGGAAAAAGAAAUUCGUGCUUGUUUUGCUUUCGUGCCUCACACUGCAAAAGUUCUAGGCAGAGUGCGUGAUAAAUGCUUAGUUAAGAUGGAAAAGGCAUUAAAUUUGUGGUUGGAAGACAUGAACAGAAAAAGUAUUCCAACUGACAGCAACAUGUUGCGCCAGAAAGCAUUGAGCCUAUAUGAAGACUUCAGCAAGGGAUCCCCUGAAAUGCGUGACUCUAAGCCAUUUAUUGCAAGUAAGGGAUGGUUACACAGAUUCAGGAAUAGGUUUGGACUGAGAACUAUAAAAUUUACUGGAGAGGCUGUAUCUCCCACUGAAGAUGCUGCCGUCACAUUUCCGGUAGACUUGAAAAAUUUGAUUAUGGAGAAAGGAUACCAUCCGAAGCAAGUCUUCAAUUGUGAUGAAACCGGGCUCUUCUGGAAGAAGAUGCCCAUUAGAACCUACAUUCAUAAAAAUGCUAAGGAGUCACCAGGGCAUAAAGCAUGGAAGGACAGAUUAACUCUAGUACUAUGUGGCAACACUGCAGGGCAUAUUAUAAAGCCAGGCGUGGUGUACAGAUUGAAGAACCCACGUGCUCUCAAAAACAAACAUCAUCUGCCUGUGUUCUGGCAACAUCAUAAGAAAGCAUGGAUGACAGCCAUCUUGUUUAUGGACUGGUUCCACCAAUGUUUCAUUCCACAAGUGAAAAAAUACUUGGAAGAGGAAGGGUUGGAAUUUAAAGUCCUAUUGAUAAUAGACAGUGCACCUGGCCAUCCUGAAUCUGUUUGCUAUGAAAAUGAAAAUGUUGAGGUUGUAUUUUUACCUCCAGAUACAACCUCACUGCUUCAGCCCCUUGACCAAGGUGUCAUUUGGUUUGUCAAGGCCACAUACACCCGCCUGGUAUUUGAUCACAUUAUAUCAGCAAUUGAUGCAGACCCCAGUGUGGACAUAAUGCAGUGCUGGAAAUCAUUCACAAUUGCUGAUGCAAUAACAUUAAUCAAAGCUGCAGUGGAUGAAUUAAAACCAGAAACUGUAAAUGCCUGCUGGAAGAACUUAUGGCAUGAAGUCGUGAAUGAUUUUAAAGGCUUCCCAGGGAUCGAUGAAGAAGUUAAGAAAAUCAUUCACGCAGCAAGACAGAUUGGUGGAGAAGGAUUCACUGACAUGAUUGAUGAAGACGUGAAAGAACAUAUCGAAAGCCAUCGAGAAAUGUUAACAAAUGCGGAGUUGGAAGAACUUUUUGAGACUUCUAUGGAGGAAGAGGAAGGAGAAGAAUCCAAAUCAGAACCAGCAAUGUGGACAUUACCAAAAUUUGCUGAAGUUUUUCAAAUUGCACAGACUUUAAAGGACAAAAUUAUGGAAUAUGACCCUUGGAUGGAACGCAGCAUUAAAGUCACCCGUAUGAUCACCGAAGGACUGCAACCUCUUCAGGAACACUUUGAUGAAUUAAAAAGAAAGAGACAACUUCCGAAUGCAAUGUUAUUUCAAAAGGUUUCGACAAAACACCCUUCGACUACUGAUGAUCCCCAACCAUCAGCAUCGUCUGCUCCUGACAUCCAACCAUCAGCAUCGUCAUGGCUCAAUGAUCCAGGAUCACCUGAAGCUGAUGAUUCUCCUUCUGACUUGUUGUCAGAAGGUCAAUAGUAGCCUAACAUUACAUCACAGUGCCUACGUCAUUCAACUCACUUCAUCCUCAUCACGUAGGCAUUGUAUCAUUAUCACAUCAUCACAAGAAGAAGAAGGGCAAUGGUUAUGUGAAAGAAGAAGAUUUUCUACCAAGAAGCAUUAAGCACAUGGCUAUCAAUACAGCAAUGACUCAAGGGAGCAUUGUCCGUUGUUUGGGAAGAGCCAAUCAGUAUAGGGCAGAAAGACAACAAAGAAGCC